UACAGAGGGUGCAAGCGUUAAUCGGAAUUACUGGGCGUAAAGCGUGCGUAGACGGUUACAUAAGUCGGGUGUGAAAGCCCCGGGCUCAACCUGGGAAUUGCAUUCGAGACUGCGUAGCUAGGGUGCGGAAGAGGGAAGCGGAAUUUCCGGUGUAGCGGUGAAAAUGCGUAGAUAUCGGAAGGAACACCAGUGGCGAAAGCGGCUUCCUGGUCCAGCACCGACGUCAGGCACGAAAGCGUGGGGAGCAAACAGG
rnacentral:rRNA from 1 species